rnacentral:rRNA from 1 species
AAACCAACAGGGAUUACCUCAGUAACGGCGAGUGAAGCGGUAACAGCUCAAAUUUGAAAUCUGGGUCUUUCAGGCUCCGAGUUGUAAUUUGUAGAAGAUGCUUCGGGUGCGGCUCCGGUCUAAGUUCCUUGGAACAGGACGUCAUAGAGGGUGAGAAUCCCGUAUGUGAUCGGUUGCUUGCGCCCAUGUGAAGCUCUUUCGACGAGUCGAGUUGUUUGGGAAUGCAGCUCAAAAUGGGUGGUAAAUUUCAUCUAAAGCUAAAUAUUGGCCAGAGACCGAUAGCGCACAAGUAGAGUGAUCGAAAGAUGAAAAGCACUUUGGAAAGAGAGUUAAACAGUACGUGAAAUUGUUGAAAGGGAAGCGCUUGCAACCAGACUUGCGCGUUGCCGAUCAUCCGGGGUUCUCCCCGGUGCACUCGGCCUCGCUCAGGCCAGCAUCGGUUUUGGUGGUGGGAUAAAGGCCUUGGGAAUGUAGCUCCUUUCGGGGAGUGUUAUAGCCCUCGGUGCAAUGCCGCCUACCGGGACCGAGGACCGCGCUCGGCUAGGAU